AUUGAACGCUGGCGGCAUGCUUUACACAUGCAAGUCGAACGGUAACAGGCCUUCGGGUGCUGACGAGUGGCGAACGGGUGAGUAAUGCAUCGGAACGUGCCCAGAGGUGGGGGAUAACGCAGCGAAAGCUGUGCUAAUACCGCAUGUGAUCUGAGGAUGAAAGCGGGGGACCAGGCAGCAAUGUUUGGCCUCGCGCCUUUGGAGCGGCCGAUGUCAGAUUAGGUAGUUGGUGGGGUAAAGGCCUACCAAGCCGACGAUCUGUAGCUGGUCUGAGAGGACGACGGGCACCCCGGGGAGUGGGCCACGCCCCGGCCCCCGCGGGGAGGAGCGGUGGGGAAUUUUGGAAGAAGGGCGCCAGGCCGAACCCAGCAAGCCGGCGGGGGGAAAGAGGCCUUGCGGUUUUAAACCCGUUUUUAUCGGAAACAAAAGGGCUCUGCUAAAUCCCGGGGGCUGAUGGGGGAACGUAAAAAAAAACCCCGGACAAACUCGGUC
rnacentral:rRNA from 1 species